UACAGAGGUUGCAAGCGUUAAUCGGAAUUACUGGGCGUAAAGCGUGCGCAGGCGGUUCGUUAUGUCCGAUGUGAAAGCCCCGAGCUCAACUUGGGAAUGGCAUUGGAAACUGGCGGGCUGGAGUGUGGCAGAGGGGGGUGGAAUUCCACGUGUAGCAGUGAAAUGCGUAGAGAUGUGGAGGAACACCGAUGGCGAAGGCAGCCCCCUGGGCCAACACUGACGCUCAGGCACGAAAGCGUGGGGAGCAAACAGG
rnacentral:rRNA from 1 species